CAAGUACUUCUAAUGGAAGUGUGUUCACCAUUACUGUACGGAAAUGGGGUGCUAAAGUUGACAUUUUUUUUUUCAUGAAUUUCAAGAACUGUGAAAGUGUUGUGUUAAGGAAGUGGAAGUGCUAGAUCUGUGUGGAAGGUGAUGAAGAAUAGGAGAUAUUAAGUACUCGGACAACAAUGCUCCACAAAACCAACUAGGAUUUUCUUUAAACAGAUGCAAAGAUUUGAACUUUUUCUCACCAGCAAGGACUAAAGUACUCAAAGAACAAUGCUAUACAAAACAUACCAUUUCCUUAAACACUCAAUUACAAACAAAUAGAGUUAUUAACCCCAUAUGCAAAGACCAAAACUUUCCUCAACCCCGCAACUACAAACAUGUACAGUCAACUCCAGAUGCAAAGAUUAAGACUUUUUUCACCAUAAAGAACUAAACUACUUAUAAAAGGGUAAAAUGCAGCUAAAAUAUGCUAGAUAAACCUGCAUUAAGACUGUAAACCAAGACUUUGAAAUUCUUAAAAGUCUUUCCUCAACGUUCUUUAUUUGAAGGGGAGCCUUGGAGUAACUGGUAAAGUUGCUGCCAUAUGACCAGGAGGUCACGGGUUCAGCCUUGGAAACAGCCUCUGGCAGAAAUGCAAGGUAAGGCGACGUACAAUACACCCUUGUGGUGGGGCCCUUCCCCGGACACCACGCAUAGCGGUAGAUUUAGUGCACCGGGAUUCCCCUUUUUUUCCUCAACCCCUCAAUUACAAACAAGUACAGCUAAUCCCAGAUGCAAAGAUUAAAACUUUAAUCAAUCCCUCAACUACAAACAAGUACAGCUAACCCCAGAUGCAGACAUUAAGACUUUUUUUAACCAUUAAAGACAAAAGUAACAAAUGCACAGCUAGAAAUGCUAGUCAAACCUGCAGUUAGCAGCAAGUCCAUCAGUAGUAAACCCUUCACAAGACUGUAAAACCAAGACUUUAAAGUUCUUAAAUGAACUCAGAAAUCAACUCCAAUGACUCCAAAGACUAAGACUUUCCUCAACCUCUCAACUACAAACAAGUGCAGCUAACCCCAGAUGCAAAUAUUAAGACUUUUUUCAACAUUAAGGACUAAAAUGCAGCUAAUAUAUGCUAGAUAAACCUGCACAAGACUGUAAAACCAAGACUUUACAAACAAGUAAAGUUAACCCCAGAUGCAAAAGAUUAAGUCUUUUUCCACCAUUAAAUACAAAAGUUCUCAGAAAGGGUUAUCUACAAAGAAAAAUGCAGCUAAAAAUGUUUGUCAAACCUGCAGUUAGCAGCAAUAGCAGCAAGUCCAUCAGUAGUAAACCCUUCACAAGACUGUAAAACCAAGACUUUAAAAUUCUUAAAAGACUUAGAAAUCAACUCCAAUGACUCAUCACAAACAACCAUUCUCUUAAGUCUAAUUUCUUCAAGAAAUGGAUAAGCUUUAGCCAUUGUAACAACCCAUGGAUAAAAAUAUGCACCCCAUCCUUCAGGUACUAGAUCAAAAUCAGCAAAAUGUGGCUUCCCUUUAAUGUUUACAGAUCUAAUAUCUGGAAAUCUUCUUAUCAAGAUUGAUGGACUAACAGCAUAACAGUUCCCAAUGAACACAUUCUUCCUACAACAUCUUUCAGCUUCAUACCAUGUUUUACUUACUAAGGAUAUUGAGUUCCUGUCUUUGUCUGUAGUUAUGCUUGAAAAUAUGUGUUCAAGUACUUCUAAUGGAAGUGUGUUCACCAUUACUGUACGGAAAUGGGGUGCUAAAGUUGACAUUUUUUUUUUCAUGAAUUUCAAGAACUGUGAAAGUGUUGUGUUAAGGAAGUGGAAGUGCUAGAUCUGUGUGGAAGGUGAUGAAGAAUAGGAGAUGUGGGGUGGGUGGAUUGAGGGGGUAGGUGGUGUUUGAAGACUUGUGAGGGUGGGUGGGUGGGGUUUGUUGGGGGGUAGUGUUCAGAGAAGAUAAGGUUAUGUACUCUUGCUGUCAUGUUUGGUGG
rnacentral:lncRNA from 1 species